AUUGCUAUUCUCUAAGCGUGCUAUUACUGCACAUCUUCUCACUUCUCUCUCAAACCUCUAUUCUCUUUUCUCAGACUUUUUUUCUUUUUCACUUCUCUCUUUGUUUUCAAUCUUCUUCCUCACAACUGGGGACAUCAUCUUCUUCAUCAAUUCAUUCAUCAUCAAUGGAUUGCUAUUCAUUACUCUUCACCAAGGAUUUCUCUUCUUAAUCAUCUUUCAGAUCUGAAACGGCUUUCGACGGGACCAUCAGAUCUAAAAUUAAAACCACCAAAAUCACCAGAUCUAAAAUCAAAACUAACUGAUCUGUAAUGGAAACCUCCGAAUCUUAAAAAAGUGUUUAUUUUUAACCUUCAUCUUCAAGUGUUAGGCUUCAUAGAUUUCUGAGUUUUUUUCUUUACUCCCUUUUCAUUGUUUUAGUUUUCAGGCAUUGUUCUUGGCAUAACAUAUUUAUUUCCUCAAUGAGUUUUUCUCUUAACUCCCUUUUUAGUGUUUAUCUAUUCUAUUUAUUCUAUCGCAUGUUAUUUAUGAGUUUUUCUCAUUAACAAGAUUGAAUUUUUCCUUUUUCCGGUUCUCUUUCUUCAUCAAGAAAUUUUUUUCCUUUUCCUAUCUAUUAAUUUUACGUUUUUACAUCUUGCUAUCUUCUAUUAGCUUUUUUUUGUAAUGAUUAAUGGAUUGUUAUGAAAAAUACAUUUUGGAAUAAACUUAGUAUUGCAAUAUAAAAAUAUUUUUUUAUUAAUUGUUUGCAUGGUUGAUUUUGUGGUUGAUGUUAAGGUGUGAAAGUGGUUGUAACUUUGUUGAAAUUUUCGGGAAGCUGUUGAAAUUUUCGGAGUUCCCACAUGCUACUACCAACGUUUUGCUUGCUUCAAAAACAGAUUUUGCAUAAGAAUUAAGGAGUGGGAGGAGAGGGACUGUAUUUACCCUUCAAUUUAGUCUUUCCAAUCCAACCAAAUCUCAAAAAUUAUUUUGUCCCAUACUCAUAAAUUAUUUUUUUCUGAUUUUUGCAGAUAUCUACAUUUUCUGUUCUGAAUUCCCCUUCUUUUGUUCUUAUUUAUUUUUAUUUUUAGAAUUUUUUUUUCAGAUUUUGCACAAGAAUUAAGGAGAGGGAGGAGAUGACUGUAUUUAUCCUUUAACUGAGUCUUUCCGAUGCAACCAUUACUGCAGCAAUUUAUUCUCAUUAUUUUUAUGAAUACCUAUAUCUAUGCAGACUUUUCAAUGCAACAUUUUUGAAUUUUUAUUUUUAUUUCAUAUUUUAAAAAACAUGUAUCACUCAUAUAUGGAAUAUUAGUCUUCUA